CCGGGUCACCGGACACAUUUUUUAAACUAGAUACCCCAAUGAUGAUUGUGGCCAAGUUUGGUUUAAUUUGGCCCAGUAGUUUCAGAGGAGAAGAUUUUUGUAAAAGUUAACGACGACGACGGACGACGACGGACGCCGGACACCAAGUGAUGAGAAAAGCUCACUUGGCCUUUUAGGCCAGGUGAGUUAAAAAGGGGGGUUACACUGCAUUUACAGUCAAUAGUCAAUACUGUGAUCAGGUACAUUUCCUGACAUGUAUACCAAUAAUAUGUGUGUUU
rnacentral:lncRNA from 1 species